CCUACGGGUGGCAGCAGUGAGGAAUAUUGGUCAAUGGACGAGAGUCUGAACCAGCCAAGUAGCGUGAAGGAUGACUGCCCUAUGGGUUGUAAACUUCUUUUAUAUGGGAAUAAAAUGUUCCACGUGUGGGAUUUUGUAUGUACCAUAUGAAUAAGGAUCGGCUAACUCCGUGCCAGCAGCCGCGGUAAUACGGAGGUUCCGGGCGUUAUCCGGAUUUAUUGGGUUUAAAGGGAGCGUAGGUGGAUUGUUAAGUCAGUUGUGAAAGUUUGCGGAUCAACCGUAAAAUUGCAGUUGAAACUGGCAGUCUGGAGUGCAGUAGAGGUGGGCGGAAUUCGUGGUGUAGCGGUGAAAUGCUUAGAUAUCACGAAGAACACCGAUUGCGAAGGCAGCUCACUGGACUGCAACUGACACUGAGGCUCGAAAGUGUGGGUAUCAAACAGGAUUAGAUACCCGAGUAGUC
rnacentral:rRNA from 1 species